AACGAGCGCUGGCGGCAUGCCUAACACAUGCAAGUCGAACGAGACCUUCGGGUCUAGUGGCGCACGGGUGCGUAACGCGUGGGAACCUGCCCUUAGGUUCGGAAUAACUCCCCGAAAGGGGUGCUAAUACCGGAUAAUGUCUUCGGACCAAAGAUUUAUCGCCUUUGGAUGGGCCCGCGUUGGAUUAGCUAGUUGGUAGGGUAAAAGCCUACCAAGGCGACGAUCCAUAGCUGGUCUGAGAGGAUGAUCAGCCACACUGGGACUGAGACACGGCCCAGACUCCUACGGGAGGCAGCAGUGGGGAAUAUUAGACAAUGGGCGAAAGCCUGAUCCAGCAAUGCCGCGUGAGUGAUGAAGGCCUUAGGGUUGUAAAGCUCUUUUACCCGGGAUGAUAAUGACAGUACCGGGAGAAUAAGCUCCGGCUAACUCCGUG
rnacentral:rRNA from 1 species